rnacentral:rRNA from 1 species
ACGCUGGCGGCAGGCCUAACACAUGCAAGUCGAGCGGUAGAGAGAAGCUUGCUUCUCUUGAGAGCGGCGGACGGGUGAGUAAUGCCUAGGAAUCUGCCUGGUAGUGGGGGAUAACGUCCGGAAACGGACGCUAAUACUGCAUACGUCCUACGGGAGAAAGCAGGGGACCUUCGGGCCUUGCGCUAUCAGAUGAGCCUAGGUCGGAUUAGCUAGUUGGUGGGGUAAUGGCUCACCAAGGCGACGAUCCGUAACUGGUCUGAGAGGAUGAUCAGUCACACUGGAACUGAGACACGGUCCAGACUCCUACGGGAGGCAGCAGUGGGGAAUAUUGGACAAUGGGCGAAAGCCUGAUCCAGCCAUGCCGCGUGUGUGAAGAAGGUCUUCGGAUUGUAAAGCACUUUAAGUUGGGAGGAAGGCCAGUAAAUUAAUACUUUGCUGUUUUGACGUUACCGACAGAAUAAGCACCGGCUAACUCUGUGCCAGCAGCCGCGGUAAUACAGAGGGUGCAAGCGUUAAUCGGAAUUACUGGGCGUAAAGCGCGCGUAGGUGGUUCGUUAAGUUGGAUGUGAAAUCCCCGGGCUCAACCUGGGAACUGCAUUCAAAACUGACGAGCUAGAGUAUGGUAGAGGGUGGUGGAAUUUCCUGUGUAGCGGUGAAAUGCGUAGAUAUAGGAAGGAACACCAGUGGCGAAGGCGACCACCUGGACUGAUACUGACACUGAGGUGCGAAAGCGUGGGGAGCAAAC